UACGGAGGGGGCUAGCGUUGUUCGGAAUUACUGGGCGUAAAGCGCACGUAGGCGGCUCUUUAAGUCGGAGGUGAAAUCCUGGAGCUCAACUCCAGAACUGCCUUCGAUACUGGAAGACUUGAGUCCGGGAGAGGUGAGUGGAACUGCGAGUGUAGAGGUGAAAUUCGUAGAUAUUCGCAAGAACACCAGUGGCGAAGGCGGCUCACUGGCCCGGUACUGACGCUGAGGUGCGAAAGCGUGGGGAGCAAACAGG
rnacentral:rRNA from 1 species